rnacentral:rRNA from 1 species
AACGAACGCUGGCGGCAUGCCUAACACAUGCAAGUCGAACGAGACCUUCGGGUCUAGUGGCGCACGGGUGCGUAACGCGUGGGAACCUGCCCUUAGGUUCGGAAUAACUCCCCGAAAGGGGUGCUAAUACCGGAUAAUGUCUUCGGACCAAAGAUUUAUCGCCUUUGGAUGGGCCCGCGUUGGAUUAGCUAGUUGGUAGGGUAAAAGCCUACCAAGGCGACGAUCCAUAGCUGGUCUGAGAGGAUGAUCAGCCACACUGGGACUGAGACACGGCCCAGACUCCUACGGGAGGCAGCAGUGGGGAAUAUUGGAAAAUGGGCGAAAGCCUGAACCAGCAAUGCCGCGUGAGUGAUGAAGGCCUUAGGGUUGUAAAGCUCUUUUACCCGGGAUGAUAAUGACAGUACCGGGAGAAUAAGCUCCGGCUAACUCCGUG